rnacentral:rRNA from 1 species
CGCGUAGGCGGCCAUCUAAGUCAGACGUGAAAUCCCCGGCUUAACCUGGGAACUGCGUCUGAUACUGGACGGCUCGAGUAUGGGAGAGGGAUGUAGAAUUCCAGGUGUAGCGGUGAAAUGCGUAGAUAUAGGAAGGAACACCAGUGGCGAAGGCGACCACCUGGACUGAUACUGACACUGAGGUGCGAAAGCGUGGGGAGCAAACA